GAUGAACGCUAGCGGCAGGCCUAACACAUGCAAGUCGAGGGGCAGCACAAAGAUAGUUUACUAUUUGGUGGCGACCGGCGCACGGGUGCGUAACGCGUAUGCAACCUACCUUGUACAGAGGGAUAGCCCGAAGAAAUUCGGAUUAAUACCUCAUAGCACUAUGAUUUCUCAUGAAAUUUUAGUUAAAACUUCGGUGGUACAAGAUGGGCAUGCGUCCUAUUAGCUAGAUGGUAAGGUAACGGCUUACCAUGGCAACGAUAGGUAGGGGGCCUGAGAGGGUGACCCCCCACACUGGUACUGAGACACGGACCAGACUCCUACGGGAGGCAGCAGUGAGGAAUAUUGGUCAAUGGACGAAAGUCUGAACCAGCCAUGCCGCGUGAAGGAUGAAGGUUCUAUGGAUUGUAAAACUUCUUUUUAUUUGGGAAAUAAACCCCCCCGACGUGUCGGGGGCGUNAAAGGUACUGAAUGAAUAAGCACCGGC
rnacentral:rRNA from 1 species